CAGUCGCCGCGGGAAUACGUAGGGUGCGAGCGUUAAUCGGAAUUACUGGGCGUAAAGCGUGCGCAGGCGGUUCGUUAAGACAGAUGUGAAAUCCCCGGGCUUAACUUGGGAACUGCAUUUGUGACUGGCGAGCUAGAGUAUGGCAGAGGGGGGUAGAAUUCCACGUGUAGCAGUGAAAUGCGUAGAGAUGUGGAGGAAUACCGAUGGCGAAGGCAGCCCCCUGGGCCAAUACUGACGCUCAUGCACGAAAGCGUGGGGAGCAAACAGGAUUAGAUACCCCUGUAGUCCCUGUCUCUUAUAC
rnacentral:rRNA from 1 species